rnacentral:rRNA from 1 species
AGCGAACGCUGGCGGCAGGCCUAACACAUGCAAGUCGAACGGAUCCUUCGGGAUUAGUGGCGGACGGGUGAGUAACACGUGGGAACGUGCCCUUUGGUUCGGAACAACUCAGGGAAACUUGAGCUAAUACCGGAUGUGCCCUUCGGGGGAAAGAUUUAUCGCCAUUGGAGCGGCCCGCGUCUGAUUAGCUAGUUGGUGAGGUAACGGCCCACCAAGGCGACGAUCAGUAGCUGGUCUGAGAGGAUGAUCAGCCACACUGGGACUGAGACACGGCCCAGACUCCUACGGGAGGCAGCAGUGGGGAAUCUUGCGCAAUGGGCGAAGGCCUGACGCAGCCAUGCCGCGUGAAUGAUGAAGGUCUUAGGAUUGUAAAAUUCUUUCAGCGGGGACGAUAAUGACGGUACCCGCAGAAGAAGCGCCGGCUAACUUCGUG